AUUGAACGCUGGCGGCAUGCCUUACACAUGCAAGUCGAACGGUAACAGGUCUUCGGAUGCUGACGAGUGGCGAACGGGUGAGUAAUACAUCGGAACGUGCCUAGUAGUGGGGGAUAACUACUCGAAAGAGUGGCUAAUACCGCAUGAGAUCUACGGAUGAAAGCAGGGGAUCGCAAGACCUUGUGCUACUAGAGCGGCCGAUGGCAGAUUAGGUAGUUGGUGGGAUAAAAGCUUACCAAGCCGACGAUCUGUAGCUGGUCUGAGAGGACGAUCAGCCACACUGGGACGGAGAAACGGCCCAGACUCCUACGGGAGGCAGCAGUGGGGAAUUUUGGACAAUGGGCGCAAGCCUGAUCCAGCAAUGCCGCGUGCAGGAUGAAGGCCUUCGGGUUGUAAACUGCUUUUGUACGGAACGAAAAGACUCCUUCUAAUAAAGGGGGUCCAUGACGGUACCGUAAGAAUAAGCACCGGCUAACUACGUGCCAGCAGCCGCCGUAACAC
rnacentral:rRNA from 1 species